GUGCUUGUAGCUCAAUUGGAUAGAGUAUCAAACUACGGAUUUGAGGGUUGAGAGUUCGAGCCUUUCCAAGCACA
rnacentral:tRNA from 1 species